AAGCUUACGGUACCUGUCGUUCUCACCCCAUGUCCAUCCAGCGCUGUCAGUGAUGAAUUGAAAAGGCGAGAGCAAGAGAUGUGCUCUCGGCUCCACGAACCUCUUUGAUCUAUGCCGACAGUGGGGGAGAUUGGAGAAGAAGCAUGCUCCACCCUUCACGUGUAUCAGUACGUCUGCGUCUUCUUGUGC
ensembl:ncRNA C07H6.12 ncRNA